UACGUAGGGGGCAAGCGUUAUCCGGAAUUACUGGGUGUAAAGGGAGCGUAGACGGUAAUGUAAGUCUGGAGUGAAAGGCGGGGACCCAACCCCCGGACUGCUCUGGAAACUAUGUUACUGGAGUGCAGGAGAGGUAAGCGGAAUUCCUAGUGUAGCGGUGGAAUGCGUAGAUAUAUGGAGGAACACCGGUGGCGAAAGCGGCUCUCUGGUCUGUAACUGACGCUGAGGCACGAAAGUGCGGGUAUCGAACAGG
rnacentral:rRNA from 1 species